ensembl:lncRNA
UGGUGAUGAAGAUGAUGAUGAUGAUGAUGAUGUGUUUAUGGUGUAACAGGCAGCAGGAGCGGGUGGUGAUGAUGAUGAUGAUGAUGAAGAUGUGUGUUUAUGGUGUAACAGGCAGCAGGAGCGGGUGGUGAUGAUGAUGAUGAUGAUGAUGUGUGUUUAUGGUGUAACAGGCAGCAGGAGCGGGUGAUGAUGAUGAUGAUGAUGAUGUGUGUUUAUGGUGUAACAGGCAGCAGGAGCGGGUGAUGAUGAUGAUGAUGAUGUUUGUUUAUGGUGUAACAGGCAGCAGGAGCGGGUGAUGAUGAUUGAUGAUGAUGAUGAUGUUUGUUUAUGGUGUAACAGGCAGCAGGAGCGGGUGGUGAUGAUGAUGAUGAUGAUGAUGAAGAUGUGUGUUUAUGGUGUAACAGGCAGCAGGGAGCGGUGAUGAUGAUGAUGAUGAUGAUGUUUGUUUAUGGUGUAACAGGCAGCAGGAGCGGGUGAUGAUGAUGAUGAAGAUGUGUGUUUAUGGUGUAACAGGCAGCAGGAGCGGGUGGUGAUGAUGAUGAUGAUGAUGAUGAUGAUGAUGAAGAUGUGUGUUUAUGGUGUAACAGGCAGCAGGAGCGGGUGAUGAUGAUGAUGAUGAUGAUGUUGUUUAUGGUGUAACAGGCAGCAGGAGCGGGUGGUGAUGAUGAUGAUGAUGAUGAUGAUGAUGAUGAAGAUGUGUGUUUAUGGUGUAACAGGCAGCAGGAGCGGGUGGUGAUGAUGAUGGUGAUGAUGAUGAUGAUGUUUGUUUAUGGUGUAACAGGCAGCAGGAGCGGGUGAUGAUGAUGAUGAUGAUGAUGAAGAUGUG